rnacentral:lncRNA from 10 species
UUUCAUGCCCCCGUGUGAGUAUUUCCGUACGCUAUAUUCUCAGUGGUCCAAUCAUUGGGUCAAAGGGCAGGGGCAUUUACAAUUUUGAUAGCUGUGGCCAAAGUGGGUUCCACGGAGACUCUGGCACUUUACCCUCCUCAUAGGUGGGCAUGCCUGUCACCUACUCUUUCGCUUGCCGUGUGUCCCAAGGCAAGGUCUGGGCUGUAGCUGUCACC